rnacentral:lncRNA from 1 species
GCUGCACCUCGCACCCCCGAGCUCUUCCCCUCUUGCACCUCCCUGUCCCCCCUGCAUUCCCCCGAGCCCUUCCCCUAUUGCACCCUCCCUGUGCACCCCGCAGUCCCCGAGCCCUUCCCCAUUGCACCCUCUCCAUGCACCCUGCAGUCCCCCAGCCCUUCCCCUAGUGCACCCUCCCUCUCCCCCCUUGCACCCUGCAGUCCUGCAAACCCUUCCCCUCUCUCGCCCUGCAGACCCCCAAAGCCCUCCCCUACUGCACCCUGCAGCCCAGCAAGCCCUCUCCCGCUGCGCCUCACUCUGCACCCUGUGCCCUAGCAAACCCCUCUCCUCUUCCACCCUGCAGUGCAGCGAGCCCUUUCCCCCUUGCACCCUGCAGCCUAGCACACCCCUUAGCACCCUGCAGUCCAGCACACCCUUCCCCUUUUGUACCCUGCAGUCUAGCAAACCCUUCCCCUACUGCAUCCUGCAACCCAGCACGCCCCCCCACACCCCACAUUCCCCCCAACCCUUCUCCCCCCGCACCCCCCCUUCCCCUAUUGCACCCUGCAGUCCAGCCAACCCUGGCCCCCACAAGCUGGCGAUUCCUUCCCUAGUUACAGCCCUCCGUGCACCCCACCGCCUGGCGAGCCCUUCCAUUCCUACACCCCCCCAGGCAUCCCCCAGUCUAGCCAAACCUUUCCACCCUAUAUUUUCCAGUCUAGCAAACCCUAUCCCCCCUACGUCCCCCAGCCUAGCAAACCCCUUCCUCCCUACAUCUUCCAGUCGAGCAAACCUUUCUCUUAUUACAGCUUCCCAUGUAUCCUGCAGUCGAGCCAGCCCUUCCCCUAUCACGCCCCUCCAUGCAUCCCAAAGUCUAGUGAACUCUUUCCUUAUAGCCCUCUAUAUGGCCUUCAGUCUAGCGAGCCCUUCCCCUACUGCCCGCCCCCCUGCAUCCCCCAGUCCAGCAAGCCUUUCCUGCAUCCUGCCCCUCCGUGCAUCCCAAAGCCUGCUGACCCCUUCCCGUACUACUUCCCUCCGUACGGCCUGCAGUCCAGCCAGCCCUUCCCCUACUGCGCUCCCCUGGGCAUCCCGCAGUCGAGCCAGCCCUUCCCGUAUUGCACCCCUCCAUGCAUCGCGAAGGCUGGCGAGCUCUUCCCCUACUACCUCACUCCCUCCACCUUGCAGUCCAGCACACCCUUCCCGUAUUUCAGGCCAGUGUGCAUCCCCCAAUCUAGCAAGCCCUUUCCCUGUAGCUCCCUGCAGCCUGGCGACCCUGUCCCGUAUUGCACCUCGCCGAGGGACCCCUUCCCUUACUGCACCCUGCAGCCCAGCGAGGUGCCGCUCCGGGGCUCCCCUUGGUCUCCGUGCGCCCCCCGGGCCACCGCCGUCGCACCCCGCCUGCAUGCCCUGCGGGUGCACUCGCCACCCCUGACCCUGGCGGCCCCGUGAGCCAGGCCAGGGGGCUCCCGGCAGCGUCGCCAGGCCGGAGCGCCAUGGGGGAGGCGCCGGCGGCGGAGCUGGAGGNNNNNNNNNNNNNNNNNNNNNNNNNNNNNNNNNNNNNNNNNNNNNNNNNNNNNNNNN